UUCCACCUCUCCGAUUACUUCAUUGUCCAGUGGCCGGCCCUUAAGGAGAAAUAUCCCAAAUCUGUGUACCUCGGGCGAAUUGUUUGACGAAUGACAAGGAAAAGAAAUUAAGUCAGUCUGCAGAUCUGAUUCCUGAACCUACAGAGGUUUUUCUGACUUAAAAUAUUCGGUCCUGGACCUUUCCCUACACUGCUGUCAAGUACAAAGUGUCCCCGUCUCCUUUAUGCAUGAGAGGACUGUGCUUCUCGUUGUUGGGUAAAUAUUUGAGGUUGUUCCCACAUCAGCUCCUGGGCGCCGCCUCCCGCCGAAGGUGUCCCCUUUCUCCAAGGACACCCUCCCUGCCCUUGUCCAGAAACUGGCGAUAACAAGUCACCUCUGUGGACUGAGUAUUACAGGCGAUGCUGCCCCCAGGUCUGGUGCUGUGCGGAGCUGGUCAGGUGGAUGCUAAGAGCCCUGGGCCAGGCUCCAGCUUUGCCACCGUGCGUGCCUUGAAUCACGGCGAACGUAGUAUUUCUCUGCUUCCUCACCACGUUCGUAACAGGAAGCAUUUGGACGAGGUCGUUUUUGAGAUCUCUCCCCAUGACGGUCCUGCCACCACCACCGUCAUCACAGUCGCUUCCAGCAUUUUUCACCUGCGCGUGACAGGCCAGCGUCUGCGCUAAGCACAGUCCACGCGGGGACUUAUUUAAUCCUCAGACCCAGGAGGACCUCACACUUUAGAGACCCCUCCACAUGCCACUGCCUUCCUGGGGGGACCAGAGGUCUCGACCCCCCCGAGCCCGCACCCCCUUUCUGGGCCGAGCUCUGGCUGCCGAGGCCCCCUGCAUCCCCUGCCUCAGUGGCCCAGGCCUGCUCCUAGGACUUCUGGUGUCCUCUUCCCCAGGUCCGCCCUCCCCAGGGUGGCUUACAAGGGGGAAGGGUGUGGAAGGAUCAGGCCGUGCAGCCUGGGGCUGGGACUCCAUGCACACAACUUCUUAGUGGAACCAGCUAGAAAGAGAAGGACGCUGGGCAUGGGGGUGGGAGGUUCUUCAUGCUCCCGGCUGGGGGCCGGUGCUCGUCAGGGGUGGGCCCGAUGAGGUCAGCGGUAGUAGUAGUAGUACCCUCUCGAUUUUACAGAGAAUAAAACGAACGCUUGGAUAAUGUUUCUGACCUCGCACAGCGGGUCCGUGGUAGAGCCAGGUUCAGACUGCUGUCCUUGUAAUUCCACGCUCUUCCCUUUCAUGGGGCCGCCCAGCAAAAGCCGCAGAACCUGCAGAUCCCCGGGGCCCUCAUGAGGCACAGGGAGGGUCCCGAAAAGCUGUCUUGCACCAGCUGAGUUGCUUUUCUCCCCCAGUACACCACGGGUGCCCACGGAGAAUGUGGCAGGCAGCCAUGGUGGCCAAGCCUCGUCCAGAAAAAAUUACCAUGGGAAGUUGAUUCAAUGGAAAACUAUUUGAUACAAGAGCGUGACAGUUAAUCCCAGGAUUUCACUUUUUGUUCUCAACUUCUGACCCACAGCUGCUAGACCAUCCACGGAAUAUCAAGAAGGUACCUGGACUCGAGUUUAACCCUGUUCAACAAGGGUUUGGCCAAUCAAAUAAGUAGGUCUUUGUUGAUUUCCUCUAAACUCUAAAACCAGGAAAUUACUUCUAUGUUAAGAUUCCCCACCUUCCCUCCAAGGACAUCCUGAGGCACUGAAAUAAAGCCUAGCCAAA
rnacentral:lncRNA from 1 species